rnacentral:lncRNA from 1 species
GCUCACAGUUAGGUUUCCCACAACCAAAUGGAAUAGCAGUGCAUCACUCAUGUACUUAAAUCUCUAUGAUGUGAAUAUUAAUGGUAGGAUACCUGAAUCAUUUAGCCAUCUAACUUCACUUCAUAUGUUGAACAUGGGUAAUACUAAUCUGUCAGGGCCCCUUCCUAAACCUCUAUGGAAUCUCACCAACAUAGAGAGUUUGUUCCUUGGUAGUAACCAUCUUGAAGGACUAAUUUCCCUGUUAUCGAGAUUUGAAAAGCUCAAGGAAUUAUUACUUGGAAAUAACAAUUUUGAUGGCCGACUUGAGUUCUUAUCCUUUAACAGAAGCUGGAUGCAACUCGAUACCUUAGAUUUUUCGUCCAAUUACCUAACUGGUCCAAUUCCAUCCAACGUAAGUGGACUGCGAAACCUAAAACAGCUCUUCUUGUCAUCAAGCUACUUGAAUGGGACUAUACCUUCCUGGAUAUUCUCCCUUCCUUCACUGAUAGCGUUAGACUUAAGCAAUAACACUUUCAGUGGAACAGUUCAAGUCCAAAACAUUAAAUGUCGUUACUCUAAAUCAAAAUAAGCUGGAAGGUCCUAUUCCAAAGUCACUCCUAAACCAGCAGUUCCUACUAGGUCUUCUCUUUUCACACAAUAACAUCAGUGGACGUAUUGCUUCAGCUAUCUGCAAUCUGAAAACAUUGCAAGUAUUAGAUUUGAGAAGUAAAAUUUUGGAGGGAACAAUCCCACAAUGUUUGGGUGAGAUGAGUGCAGUUGAGAUUUUGGAUUUGAGCAACAAUAGUCUUAGUGGGACAAUUAAUACAACUUUUAGUAUUCGAAACCGACUCAACAUCAUUAAAUUGCAUAGUAAUAAGCUAGAGGGGAAAGUUUCACAAUCUUUGAUCAAUUGUAAAUAUUUAGAACUUCUUGAUUUAGGUAACAAUGAGUUGAAUGACACGUUUCCAAAAUGGUUGGGAGAGCUACCUCAUUUGCAGAUCUUAAAGUUGAGAUCAAAUAAGUUCUAUGGCCCUAUAAGGAUUGACAACUUGUUUGCUCAAAUUCGAGUCAUAGAUCUCUCAUCCAAUGGAUUUAGUGGAGAUUUACCAUUGAGUCUUUUUCAGAAUUUUCAAGCCAUGAAAACAAAUGGUGAGAACAAUGGAACCCGAGAGUAUGUAGCAGAUACAUUUUUUUUUUACUUACACUAAUUCUAUGAUAGUGACAACAAAGGGACUGGAUCAUGAACUUCCUGGAGUUUUGACUACACAAAUAAUUAUCAAUUUCUCAAUGAAUAGAUUUGAAGGUCAUAUUCCAAGCAUUAUUGGAGAUCUCGUUGGACUUCGUACCUUGAACUUAUCUCAUAAUGUCUUGGAAGGUCAUAUACCAGCAUCAUUGCAAAAUUUAACUGUACUCGAAUCGUUGGAUCUCUCAUCUAACAAUAUCAGUGGAGAAAUUCUGCUGCAGCUUGCAUCCCUCACAUUUCUUGCAGUCUUAAAUCUCUCUCACAAUUAUCUUGUUGGAUGCAUCCCCAAAGGAAAACAAUUUGAUACGUUUGAGAACAGUUCAUACCAAGGAAAUGAUGGAUUACGAGGAUUGCCACCCUCAAGAGAUUGUGGUCGUGAUGAUAGGGUACCACAAGAGACAAUUCCAGUUGAGCUAGAUCAAGAAGAAGAAGAAGAAGAUUCACCAAUGAUCAAUUGGCAGGCGGUUCUUAUGGGUUAUGGUUGUGGACUUGUUAUUGGACUGUCUGUAAUAUACGUAAUGUGGUCAACUCAAUAUCCAGCAUGGUUUUCGAGGAUGGAUUUAAAAUUGGAACACAGAAUUACUACGAGAAUGAAAAAGUACAAGAAAAGAUAUUAGUGAGUAGCGACCCCCAGGUAUUCAACUUGAUCUUUAUCUUUCUUAAGAUCAUUUUAUAUGUCAAUGUGUUUUCAACCUCCUUCAUCGUCAGAGCUCUUACCUUAAUUCUUUAUUUUUGAAAAUUGCAGGAUUCAAGUCUACUGAGUUGUGGGGGAUGCAGAUAAAAGUCUUUAUUUUUCAUAGUUUGUGGUGUCUCCAUAAAGUAUUUGUUAUACUAUGAAUAAAGACAUGACUUUUCUUCCUUUGAGACUCAACCAGAUUUUGUUUUCAAAUGUCUAUGGCAUAUAGAAAUAAACGGAAAUCGGACACAAACUUGAAUCUUUAAAUCAUUCAAUCAGAGUAUUUCACUCAACUCUUUCACAUAACACAAAUAUAGAACACUCGAAUUUAAGUUCAGAAACAUAAAAAUCUGUAGUUACAGAUUUCAGAAAUAUUCUUUUACAGACACAUGAUGGUCCUUUAUCAAAAGAUCGAAGGAACAUCAGGAAACCAUGGACCAAAGUUGCAGUCUGCUAUCUUUAACUUUUUUCAUUGAAGCAGUAGCAAUUAACAUAUAAUCUAGAUUCUAUUCAACCUCCUUUAUGAUAUUAGUAAGAUAAAUGAAACAGUGCUAAAUCAAGAAAUGAAGAAAGCUGUAAAGUAUUCCGCUGCUGCUUAUUAGAAUAGGCUCAGACUCUUUUGAGACAUUAGAUGGUGAACUGAUCAAAUGGACGAAAAAGGCCUAUUAUUGUGUUAAAAGGUGUAUUAGAAUAAUCUCAUAUCCAUUGGGAGGACUGUUUUGAGCCAUUAGAACCAGGUAAAAGAAUAAGUUCUGUCACAACAAAUUCUAGGAAAUAGACGCAUUAUUGAGCUUAUGCUCGAAAUCAAUUAAGGGUACGAAAAGUUCUGUCACAACAAAUUCUUAAAAGGGUAUAAUAUGCAUACACUUAUCCUAUCAAAACCUUCUUGCUUUUUUUUUUUUUUUACCUUUAAAGUUAAAGUCUAUACACAAAGUAACACUCUUAUCUUCUUUUUUUCUUAAUGCAAGACUUUGUUCAUACACCCAACCAAUUAUCAAACUACUUGAUUCAGAACAAUACAUGCCAUCCUGGAUAUCCUCCGUUCCAUCACUAAACUUUGAGGACUAUAACAAUGUGUUUCUUCCGUUCUACUCUCCGAGAAGACAAGAACAGCAGUCUCACUCUCACACUCACCUAUAAGUUCCAGGAAGAUACAAAAAAAUGUUUAAUCAGUGGUAUUGAAACUAUGAAGAACAUGCCAUGUAUGGACUUCUGCACUGUCUUCCAUCAGCAGGUCAAUUCUUGUGGAAAAUUGGCUCGAGCUGGUGCACUAUGUAGGCGCUGUAUUCAGAGUAGAUUUCCAGUCUAACCUUAAUGCAUUAGCAAAGUGACACUCCUAUUCUUAAGGUAUAAAGUUGUUAUGUUUCUUUCAAAGUUUACACACUCCUAUCCUAAACAAUUUUGUUGUGUGGUGGUCCUAUUCCUGGAAUCCAAUUAAGUUGGCAAAACAAAGAUAUUUUUUUGUCGAUAAUAACGUUGCACACAAAAUGCAUGUGUAAUGUGUUAUAUACAAGUGGUGGGACUUUGUGAUUUGACUUAAGAAUGUGAACUAUUGAUAGUUUCCGGCAUUCACUUGUGUGACACAUUGAAUGGGCAUAUGUGAUUCACAACUUCAAAUUGACUGAAAAUGACUACGUAACCAAUAGUAAAAUUCUCUUUGCUUAAUUUGUGUUAUAUAUACCUCAUCAAAAUUGUUGAAUAAACACACAAAGCAAAAUAUUUCUUGAUUUCUUCUCUACCAACUUAAUUUAGUUUUGAUCAUUUUUUAGUGCAGAAAUGGAUUGUGUAAAACUUGUAUUGUUUAUGCUAUAUACCUUUCUCGGUCAACUUAUUUUCUCCUUAUCCUUACCUCAUUUGUGCCCCGAAGAUCAAGCUCUUGCUCUUCUACAAUUCAAGAACAUGUUUCCCAUUAAUCCUAAUGCUUCUGAUUAUUGUUUUAAAUUUAAAGAGUUUCAUUCAUAUCCGAAAACUCUUACAUGGAAUAGUAGCACAGAUUGUUGCUCAUGGGAUGGAGUACAUUGUGACAAGAUGACGGGACAGGUGAUUGAGCUCAACCUCACUUGCAGCGGACUUCAAGGCAAGUUUCAUUCCAAAUUGUAGCCUCUUUCAACUUUCCAAUCUCAAAAGGAUUGAUUUGUCUUUUAAUAAUUUCACUGGAUCGCUCAUUUCACCUAAAUUUGGUGACUUCUCCAGUUUAACACAUCUUGAUCUAACAGUUACAAGUUUUUCGGGUCAAAUCCCUUCUGAAAUAUCUCAUCUUUCAAAAUUACACGAUCUUCGUAUCUCUAAUGUUUAUCCAUAUGAGCUUAGAUUCGGACCUCACAAUUUUGAAUUGCUCCUUAAGAACUUGACCCAAUUAAGAGAGCUCCACCUUCACGAUGUGAACAUCUCUUCCACCAUUCCUCUGAAUAUCUCUUCUUAUUUAACAAAUCUACGGCUUCCAUUAACAGAGUUACGUGGGGUAUUUCCCGAAAGAGUUCUCCACCUUUCCGAUUUAGAAUUCCUUGAUUUAUCAGAAAAUCCCCAGCUCACUGUUAGGUUUCCCACAACCAAAUGGAAUAGCAGUGCAUCACUCAUGUACUUAAAUCUCUAUGAUGUGAAUAUUAAUGGUAGGAUACCUGAAUCAUUUAGCCAUCUAACUGCACUUCAUGACUUGAACAUGGGUUAUUCUACUCUGUCAGGGCCUAUUCCUAAACCUCUAUGGAAUCUCACCAACAUAGAGAGUUUGUUCCUUAGUGAUAACUAUCUUGAAGGACCGAUUUCCCAGUUCUCGAGAUUUGGAAAGCUUAGGGUGUUAUACCUUGGAUAUAACAACUUCGAUGGCUGACUUGAGUUCUUAUCCUUUAACAGAAACUGGACGCAACUUGAAGUAUUAGAGUUUU